CCUAAGGUAGCGAAAUUCCUUGUCAGGUAAGUUCUGACCCGCACGAAAGGUGUAACGAUUUGGGCGCUGUCUCGGCAGCAGACUCGGUGAAAUCUUAGUACCUGUGAAAAUGCAGGUUACCCGCAACUAGACGGAAAGACCCCAUGGAGCUUUACUGCAGCCUGAUAUUGAAUUCUGGUCAUACAUGUACAGGAUAGGUGGGAGACAAAGAGACGUGCACGCCAGUGUACGAGGAGUCGACGUUGGGAUACCACUCUUGUGUGACCGGGGUUCUAACCUGGUAUCGAGAACAGGUACGGGGAGAGUGUCAGGUGGGCAGUUUGACUGGGGCGGUCGCCUCCCAAAGAGUAACGGAGGCGCCCAAAGGUACGCUCAGAUUGGAUGGAAACCAAUCGGCGAGUGCAAUUGCAGAAGCGUGCUUGACUGUGAGACAAACAAGUCGAACAGGGACGAAAGUCGGGAAUAGUGAUCCGGCGGUGCCGAAUGGAAGGGCCGUCGCUCAACGGAUAAAAGCUACCCUGGGGAUAACAGGCUGAUCUCGCCCAAGAGUUCACAUCGACGGCGAGGUUUGGCACCUCGAUGUCGGCUCAUCGCAUCCUGGAGCUGGAUUCGGUUCCAAGGGUUGGGCUGUCCGCCCAUUAAAGCGGUACGCGAGCUGGGUUCAGAACGUCGUGAGACAGUUCGGUCCCUAUCUGUUGUGGGCGAAGGAGAUCUGCGGAGAGCUGUCCUCAGUACGAGAGGACCGGGAUGGACCUACCGCUGGUGCACCGGUUGUUCCGCCAGGGGCAUAGCCGGGUAGCUAAGUAGGGAAAGGAUAAGCGCUGAAAGCAUCUAAGCACGAAGCCUACUCCAAGAUGAGAUCUCCCAUUCGCAAGAAGUAAGACCCCUUAAAGACGAUAAGGUAGAUAGGCCAGGGAUGGAAGUGCAGUGAUGUACGGAGUUGACUGGUACUAAUCGGUCGAGGACUUAAUCAG
rnacentral:rRNA from 1 species